UUUGAUGUCAAGUCCAAUUUUUAUCUCCAAUUAUGGUUGAUGCAAGCCAUUAAUAGUCAAGCAUGUUAAUCACAACCAUGAAUUUCUUGUUGGUUGACAAAGGUGAUUUUAAUAAUAGCUUGGAACUUCCAUCAAACACCUUGAACUUUGUAUCUUUUAGCCUCAUUGCAUAGUCUUUAUCAUGAAAUUGAUCCAAGAUGAUCAAGUUGCUUUCCAUAAUGGGGAC
rnacentral:lncRNA from 1 species